UGUAAACAUCCUACACUCAGCUGUAACAUAAAAGAGGCUGAGAGAAGGUUGUUUACUUU
rnacentral:pre_miRNA from 1 species